AAAAAAAAAAGAAAAAGAAAGAAGAAAGAAAUGGCCUUAACCUGUCUCUUUGAGGCAAGCCGCAUGAAUCAGUCGAGAAGAGCUCUGUUGUUUUGUAAUUUUGACUUUUAGAUUGGAAACCAUUAUGGGUGUUUUAGCUUUAUUAUUUAUUAUUCAGUAGCAUUUUAUUUUUGUUGCUCGGUAGUUUCAGUGGAUAUUUGGUCUUGCAAAUCCUUUUGGGUACCUUUAGCUGAAGAUCAGUUAGCGUGUCUACGUUUCCCUGGCAUUAUUAUUUAUUUUGCUUUUCUAUUGAAUCUUUUGCAAAAUGAUGCAUAACAAUACACUUUAGAGGGGCAAUAGAGUAAUGGCGUUGCUGUUUUAUUUCUCAUGCAGUGCUCCAGUAGGGGCCAAAAGAAGAGGUGGCCCAGGUGGGUUAAACAAAGUUUGUGGCGUUUCACCUGAACUUCAGGCCAUUGUUGGUGAGCCCGCCUUGCCAAGGACUGAGGUAUAAUCACUACUUGGUUUUAUUUAUAUAAUGCUUUAUGUUCUCUAAUAAAUCCUUUGCUUGAUACAGAUUGUGAAGCAAUUGUGGGCAUACAUAAGGAAAAACAACCUCCAAGAUCCAAGCAAUAAGAGAAAGAUAAUUUGUGAUGAUGCCCUAAGGGUGGUUUUUGAGACAGACUGCACUGACAUGUUCAAGAUGAAUAAGCUGCUUGCUAAACAUAUCAUUCCUCUUGAACCUACAAAGGAGACUGGUCAAGCUAAACGAGUGAAGGUUGAUGUUGAGUCCACUACUGAAAGUAGUGAACCUGGUGCAUCUGUGGUGCUGAUAUCCGAAGCACUUGCUAAGUUUUUUGGGACUGCUGGAAGGGAGAUGACCCAAUUGGAGGCAUCCAGGCUUGUUUGGGAGUAUAUAAAGGUUAACCAAUUGGAGGAUCCACUGAAUUCAAUGGUGAUAUUAUGUGAUGCAAAGCUCGGAGAGCUUCUUGGAUGUGAAAGCAUUUCUGCAGUGGGGGUAGAAGAGAUGUUAGCACGACAUCAUUUGUUCAAGAAGUCAUGAUGUUUGGCUAUGCUAACUGCUAGUGGUAAGUAUGAUGAUAAUGUUCAUAUAAAGUGUGCAUGCACACGCUCGUGUGCAUUCAUCUUUGUGGUCUACUCUGUGUUUUCUUUUGCCCCGCGUUUCUUUUAAAUGAAUAUAUAAUAUUCUACAGGUUACAUUUUGUUUGGCUUGAGGGAAGUUUGGGGAAAAUGAGAAUAUUAGAAGUGACUUUAAGUUGACUUCCUUUGUUUCAGCUCUCAAAGGACAGAAAAUGAGAGAAAUGGUGGGAGAUUAGGACAAUUAUAGUAUUCCCUAAAAUUGGAGAAAAAAGAACAAUGGAAGUUUAGAUCGAUAUGCUUUUAAAUUACAACUUCCAUUUGAAAAAUCUUUUCAUUACUAAGGAUUUAAAGAGUGUUCCCAUUGUAAAUGAUUUCUGGGUGUUCUUGAAGGGAGCUAACAAUACUAUGGCAUUGGUCUUACACAUUUUCAGUUUAAUUGUCAGAAUAGCUCUCUCCUUAACUUGCAUCCCCUAUGCAAUGCUUGUAAACUAGACUCGUUUUAACAAUCUCUCGUACUACUUACUACAUACUCUUUUUGGUCAUUUUGAUAGAUUAAGGUACUUUUAGCUAAACACUUAAACUAAUUAAAAUUAGCUUCUAAGUAGUUUUACCAAACACUCAACUACUUAAUUUUAAGUUGACUUAUAGGUUGGAAAAGUACAUUUCAAGUCAAAAGUUAAAAGUAGCCAAACCAAACACCCACAUAGAAUUGACAUGCAGAUUUCUAUUACUGUGAAUUUCAUCCCUUUUAUUGAGUUUUCACUGGUUUUCUUGAUAUUGUGAUUUAUUUCGUAACUUUGGUAAGUCUGUGAAGAUCUUGCAUGAUUUUACUUUGCAAGUCUUUUCCUAGCAUAUUUGUCCCUCUAAGCCUGCUUGUUUUGCACCUUAUGUUUCAAAAUUUUCCUGUUUACUGUAUAUAUUGAUUUGUUAUGUAAGUAUUGAAUUUAAAAUACUGCAAGCAUGUUUUGCACAUGUAUAUUUAUCUUCUAUCUUUUUUGCUUUAUGGUUCAUUUUCCUAUGGUGUGAUGUCUCCAUUAAAUGAAAUGAUGCAUUAGUUUUCCCUCUUUCUUUCAGGUGCAAGGAAUGUUUUGUCAGUACCGCCCUUCUGAUCUGAUGGUAGAACAGAUAGUUAAGAACCUUAAUUUUUCCCCCUUUUCUGUUCUUUUAUUUUUGUUAUUGUGAAUUAACAUGGCUAGAUGAAAUGGUGAUUUACUCUCUAGUUUGUUGUGAUCAGGAUGAAAAUGUACCACGGGCCAAUGGCAUGGUGUAUCUUUGUAGUAAUGCCUUUGCCCUGGAUUUUUAGGCUGUCUUGCUAAUCUUUUGCUGUUUGAACUUGUCCAUGCCUAACCCUUAUAGUAGGUAACAGCAGUGGAAUUGUAAAAUCUUACUUCCUUGAAUGACCCAUUGGGGUAUCUCAUUCCAUAUCUAGGGCUAUUGCUUCUUUAACUGCAAUUUUUUCCUUCCUCACUUGGUACGUAUCUGUUAUGGUUACUGAUUUUCCAGGAAUCAUUCAUGAAUCGUUUAAUUAUUAUUGUACAAAAUGAAUUGAAGGGUUGGGUAAACAAUGCUGAUGAAACCCGAAGCUGACUUGUCGUCAGUUAAUGUACAUAUGAAUGAGAAGCGCAUAAUUGGAACUUCGACUGUAGGCUGGAUACAUUAUUCAGUCUUGGGAAAGUUCAGUGCACUGAUGGUUUUUAUAUUUUCGACUUAGCUUUAUACUCAACUCAACUAAGCCUUU
rnacentral:misc_RNA from 1 species